rfam:TPA: Bos taurus chromosome 2, whole genome shotgun sequence.
UCAUAGCUCAUAGUUGGUAAAGAAUCUGCCUGCAAUGCAGGAGACCCAGGUUAGAUUCCUGGGUUGGGAA